rnacentral:rRNA from 1 species
AGAGUUUGAUCAUGGCUCAGGAUAAACGCUGGCGGCGUGCCUAACACAUGCAAGUCGAACGCCCUUUGCAAAAAGGGAGUGGCGGACGGGUGAGGAACACGUGGGUGAUCUACCUUGAGGUGAGGAAUACCGGCGAGAAAUCGCCGACAAUACCGCAUGAGCUCGAAAGAGCAAAGUCGCAAGACGCCUUGAGAUGAGCC